GACGAACGCUGGCGGCGUGCUUAACACAUGCAAGUCGAACGGAGUGGCGAACGGGUGAGUAACACGUGGGUGACCUGCCCUGCACUUCGGGAUAAGCCUGGGAAACUGGGUCUAAUAACGGAUAGUGGUGGAGGGAACCGCGGCCUAUCAGCUGGUUGGUGGGGUAAUGGACUACACAGGCGGCGACGGGUAGCCGGCCUGAGAGGGUGGACGGCCACAUUGGGACUGAUAUACGGCCCAGACUCAUACGGGAGGCAGCAGUGGGGAAUAUUGCACAAUGGGCGGAAGCCUGAUGCAGCGACGCCGCGUGGGUGAUGACGGCCUUCGGGUUGUAAACUCCUUUCACCAUCGACGCGGUAGAUGGAGAAGAAGCACCGGCUAACUACGUGCCAGCCGCCGCGGUAAUAC
rnacentral:rRNA from 1 species